rnacentral:rRNA from 1 species
GACGAACGCGGCGGCGUGCCUAAUACAUGCAAGUAGAACGCUGAAGGAGGAGCUUGCUUCUCUGGAUGAGUUGCGAACGGGUGAGUAACGCGUAGGUAACCUGCCUGGUAGCGGGGGAUAACUAUUGGAAACGAUAGCUAAUACCGCAUAAUAGCAGUUAUUGCAUGAUAACUGUUUGAAAGGUGCAAAUGCAUCACUACCAGAUGGACCUGCGUUGUAUUAGCUAGUUGGUGAGGUAACGGCUCACCAAGGCAACGAUACAUAGCCGACCUGAGAGGGUGAUCGGCCACACUGGGACUGAGACACGGCCCAGACUCCUACGGGAGGCAGCAGUAGGGAAUCUUCGGCAAUGGACGAAAGUCUGACCGAGCAACGCCGCGUGAGUGAAGAAGGUUUUCGGAU